GAUGAACGCUAGCGACAGGCUUAACACAUGCAAGUCGAGGGGCAGCACAGGUAGCAAUACCGGGUGGCGACCGGCGCACGGGUGAGUAACGCGUAUGCAACUUACCUAUCAGAGGGGGAUAACCCGGCGAAAGUCGGACUAAUACCGCAUGAAGCAGGGGUCCCGCAUGGGGAUAUUUGCUAAAGAUUCAUCGCUGAUAGAUAGGCAUGCGUUCCAUUAGGCAGUUGGCGGGGUAACGGCCCACCAAACCGACGAUGGAUAGGGGUUCUGAGAGGAAGGUCCCCCACAUUGGUACUGCGACACGGACCAAACUCCUACGGGAGGCAGGGGAGAGUAAGAUUGGUGGAUGGCGGAGAGGCUGAACCAGCCAAGUCGCGUGAGGGAUGAAGGGUCUAUGGAUGGUAAACCUCUGUUAAAAGGGAAUAAAGUGCGGGACGUGUCCCGUUUUGUAUGUACCUUAUGAAUAAGGAUCGGCUAACUCCGUG
rnacentral:rRNA from 1 species